rnacentral:rRNA from 1 species
AGAACGAACGCUGGCGGCAUGCCUAACACAUGCAAGUCGAACGCUCACCGGGCUUCGGUUCGGUGGGAGUGGCGCACGGGUGAGUAGCGCGUGGGAACCUGCCCUGUUGUGGGGGAUAACCGAGGGAAACUUCGGCUAAUACCGCAUGCGCCCGGGGAAACCCGGGGAAAGAUUUAUCGCAGCAGGAGGGGCCCGCGUCGGAUUAGGUAGUUGGUAGGGUAACGGCCUACCAAGCCUUUGAUCCGUAGCUGGUCUGAGAGGAUGAUCAGCCACACUGGGACUGAGACACGGCCCAGACUCCUACGGGAGGCAGCAGUGGGAAUAUUGGACAAUGGGCGCAAGCCUGAUCCAGCAAUGCCGCGUGAGUGAUGAAGGCCUUAGGGUUGUAAAGGCUCUUUCGCCCGCGACGAUGAUGACGGUAGCGGGAGAAGAAGCCCCGGACUAACUUCGUGCCAGCAGCCGC